rnacentral:rRNA from 1 species
AGGGCCUAACGGUCUUGUAAUUGGAAUGAGUGAAGUAUAAACCCCUUUACGAGUAUCAAUUGGAGGGCAAGUCUGGUGCCAGCAGCCGCGGUAAUUCCAGCUCCAAUAGCGUAUAUUAAAGUUGUUGCAGUUAAAAAGCUCGUAGUUGGAUUUCUGUUGUAUAAUCUAUAAUAUUACUAAGGUAUAUAUUAUAUUAUCAACAUCCUUCCUAUUAUAUUUCUAAAUAUAUAGGAAACUUUACUUUGAGAAAAUUAGAGUGCUUAAAGCAGGCAACUGCCUUGAAUACUCCAGCAUGGAAUAAUAAGUAAGGACUUUUGUCUUUCUUAUUGGUUCUAGGACAAAAGUAAUGGUUAAUAGGGACAGUUGGGGGCAUUCGUAUUUAACAGCCAGAGGUGAAAUUCUUAGAUUUGUUAAAGACGAACUACUGCGAAAGCAUUUGCCAAGGAUGUUUUCAUUAAUCAAGAACGAAAGUUAGGGGAUCGAAGACGAUCAGAUACCGUCGUAGUCUUAACCAUAAACUAUG